GUCUUCGUAGUGUAGUGGUCAACACGCUCGACACGAAUUCGAGAUGUAUGUGGUUCGAAUCCCGGCGAGGACA
rfam:Stegodyphus mimosarum contig117158, whole genome shotgun sequence.